GACGAACGCUGGCGGCGUGCUUAACACAUGCAAGUCGAACGGAAAGGCCCCCAUCUUGGUGGGGGUGCUCGAGUGGCGAACGGGUGAGUAACACGUGGGUGAUCUGCCCUGUACUUCGGGAUAAGCUUGGGAAACUGGGUCUAAUACCGGAUAGGACCAUGGUUUAGUGUCUCAUGGUGGAAAGAUUAUUGUUUUGGUGCAGGAUGAGCUCGCGGCCUAUCAGUUUGUUGGUGGGGUAAUGGCCUACCAAGGCGUCGUCGGGUCGCCGGCCUGAGAGGGUGGACAGCCACGUUGGGACGGUGAUCCGGCCCAGACUCCGACGGGAGGGAGCAGGAGUGAUGAUGGAGGAAGGGGCGCAAGACUGAGGAAGCGGCGCCGAGUGGGGAACGACGGCCUUCGGGUUAGAGAUUCCGUUCGUAAGGUACGAAGCCGCACUUUUCUGGGGUGUGAAUGCGGGAACCUUGUGAAGAAGCACCGGCUAACUACGUG
rnacentral:rRNA from 1 species